rnacentral:lncRNA from 1 species
UUCGAGUGUGGCUCGGUCAACCUGAUCAUCAUCAGAAAGAUACAACUAAAUCAACAUAUUAUGAAUGAUAAUUUUGAUAGUCAGAUGAGCACCAGGCGUGUGGUGUCUCCAAUGAUUAUCUAAACUGUUGGACUCAUUACUUCAUGGGAGGCUAUGAUCUAGUUAUCACCAUAACUAUUUUAUUUUAGGGACCUAACAAUUUUAGAGAAUUUAAUUAGUUGAAUUGAGGGAUGAGAAAAGACCAGACCAAUUAAUCUUAAUCCUCCCUUUGACUUUACCAAGUCAGAUUAAAGAAGAUCAGGCAUAAGCUGGUCCAGCC